AUUGAACGCUGGCGGCAGGCCUAACACAUGCAAGUCGAGCGGAGCGGCGGACGGGUGAGUAAUGCCUAGGAAUCUGCCUGGCAUAGGGGGAUAACGUCCGGAAACGGGAGCUAAUACCGCAUAGUAUCUGAUGAGCCUAGGUCGGAUUAGCUAGUUGGUGGGGUAAAGGCCUACCAAGGCGACGUUCCGUACCUGGUCUGAGAGGAUGAUCAGUCACACUGGAACUGAGACACGGUCCAGACUCCUACGGGAGGCAGCAGUUGGGAAUAUUGGGCAAUGGGCGAAAGCCUGAUCCAGCCAUGCCGCGUGUGUGAAGAAGGUCUUCGGAUUGUAAAGCUCUUUAAGUUGGGAGGCGUUACCAACAGAAUAAGCACCGGCUAACUUCGUGCCAGCAGCCGCGGUAAUUC
rnacentral:rRNA from 1 species